CGGGUACGUUAAUAGCGUAUUCGUUUGACGUUAGCGACAGAAGAAAGCACCGGCUAACUCCGUGCCAGCAGCCGCGGUAAUACGGAGGGUGCGAGCGUUAAUCGGAAUUACUGGGCGUAAAGCGCAUGCAGGUGGUUUGUUAAGUCAGAUGUGAAAGACCCGGGGCGUCAACCUCGGAACUGCAUUUGAAACUAGGCAAACUAGAGUACUGUAGAGGGGGGUAGGAAUUUCAGGUGUAGCGGUGAAAUGCGUAGAGAUCUGAAGGAAUACCAGUGGCGAAGGCGGCCCCCUCGGACAGAUACUGACACUCAGAUGCGAAAGCGUGGGGAGCAAACAGGAUUAGAUACCCUGGUAG
rnacentral:rRNA from 1 species